GAGACCAUAGAGAAGGGUUAUAUGUCGAGAGUGAGAGUGGGAGCAGCGGGAGUAUUUUUUUUAGGGUUAAGGGAGUUGGGUGUACAUACUGGGUCAAAUAAACAAACCCGACCCGACUCCAUGAUCCGACUCGUCCUCACUGCAACCCGACCUGACUCUACGACCCGACCCGGCAGCGAGCAACCCGACCCGACCCACCUGUCUG
rnacentral:lncRNA from 1 species